GCUUAACACAUGCAAGUCGAACGAUGAACCUGGAGCUUGCUCUGGGGGAUUAGUGGCGAACGGGUGAGUAACACGUGAGUAACCUGCCCUUGACUCUGGGAUAACCUCCGGAAACGGAAGCUAAUACCGGAUAUGACGUACGGAGGCAUCUCCUGUGCGUGGAAAGAAUUUCGGUCAAGGAUGGACUCGCGGCCUAUCAGGUAGUUGGUGAGGUAACGGCUCACCAAGCCUACGACGGGUAGCCGGCCUGAGAGGGUGACCGGCCACACUGGGACUGAGACACGGCCCAGACUCCUACGGGAGGCAGCAGUGGGGAAUAUUGCACAAUGGGCGCAAGCCUGAUGCAGCAACGCCGCGUGAGGGACGACGGCCUUCGGGUUGUAAACCUCUUUUAGUAGGGAAGAAGCGAAAGUGACGGUACCUGCAGAAAAAGCACCGGCUAACUACGUGCCAGCAGCCGCGGUAAUACGUAGGGUGCAAGCGUUGUCCGGAAUUAUUGGGCGUAAAGAGCUCGUAGGCGGUUUGUCGCGUCUGCUGUGAAAACCCGAGGCUCAACCUCGGGCCUGCAGUGGGUACGGGCAGACUAGAGUGCGGUAGGGGAGAAUGGAAUUCCUGGUGUAGCGGUGGAAUGCGCAGAUAUCAGGAGGAACACCGAUGGCGAAGGCAGUUCUCUGGGCCGUAACUGACGCUGAGGAGCGAAAGCGUGGGGAGCGAACAGGAUUAGAUACCCUGGUAGUCCACGCCGUAAACGUUGGGCGCUAGAUGUGGGGACCAUUCC
rnacentral:rRNA from 1 species